AUUGAACGCUGGCGGCAGGCCUAACACAUGCAAGUCGAGCGGUAACACAGGGAGCUUGCUCCCGGGUGACGAGCGGCGGACGGGUGAGUAAUGUCUGGGAAACUGCCCGAUGGAGGGGGAUAACUACUGGAAACGGUAGCUAAUACCGCAUAACGUCGCAAGACCAAAGAGGGGGACCUUCGGGCCUCUUGCCAUCAGAUGUGCCCAGAUGGGAUUAGCUAGGAGGUGGGGUAACGGCUCACCUAGGCGACGAUCCCUAGCUGGUCUGAGAGGAUGACCGGCCGCACGGGAACGGAGACACGGGCCAGACUCCUACGGGAGGCAGCAGUGGGUAAUCUUGCACAAUGGGCGCAAGCCUGAUGCAGCCAUGCCGCGUGUAUGAAGAAGGCCUUCGGGUUGUAAAGUACUUUCAGCGGGGAGGAAGGCGAUAAGGUUAAUAACCUUGUCGAUUGACGUUACCCGCAGAAGAAGCACCGGCUAACUCCGUGCCAGCAGCCGCGGUAACAC
rnacentral:rRNA from 1 species